GCCCAAAGAAGGUUCUAAUAGAUAGUUAAAUUUGUAGUUUCUUACUAUAUAUUAUAUUUUUCAUUUAUUCAUUUAAAAAUAUUUAUUGUGCAAUGACUAUCUGCUUACAAUGUUUCUGUUCACUGAAAUAUAUACAUGAACAGGAUAGAAAACAUUCUUAUUUUCACAGAGCUUACCUUCUCAUGGGGGCAGACAAUAAACAAACUUGUAAACUGUAUCAGUCCGCAUUUAUACUACAAUAAUGCUGUAAAACAAACAAUUCUACAAUCUCUGAAUUGAAACACCAAACGUUCAUUUGUCUCAUUAGCAGUUCUGUGGGUCAGCUGGAAGGUGACCGAUCUUAGCAGGGUUCAGCUUAUCUUGGCUCAAAAGUGUCGACUGGGAUCAGAUCUGCUCUACUGGUCCAGGGAUUCAGUUUCUCCCUGGACCAGUAGCUAUCUAGGUCGUGUUCUUCUCAUGAGGAAUGGCAGGAGCACAAGAGAAGAAGCCAGAUCAUGCCAGCAAGUCUAAAACUCUGCUUCUGUCUCAUUUACUGCCACUUCAUUAACCAAGACAAUUCACAUGCCAAGCCCAAUAUGAAUGGAUCAAAGGAGUAUUUUUCAUUCAUAGUAGGAAGAACUGAAAGUUAUAUGGAAAAAACUGUGAAUGUAUACUUUUAUAAUAGGAAAGGAAUGAAGAGUUGAAAAUAAUUCAAUCUAUCUACACAGUCUGCUCUCAUGGUAACAAUUUUUCAGGAUCCUUCUGCAUAUGGGAUAUACUCAUUACCAUCCCAAGAAACCCACAGAGGCUCACCCAAUUAUGGCAACAGGUUCAAAGUGCAUGAUCCCACGAUCCAUGUCAGGUCUAGAUAGAACUUCUCUCGAACUGGAUGUCUAUGAACUGAAAUGAUAUGUUAUCUGCCCUCAUAUGUCUAAUAUACUAUGUUAGAAUACGGAAAGGGUAAACAAACGGUUGCAUUCAACAAGGAGAAAACUGGGAGAAACAGAAGUCUCUGAUAGAUAGCAAUUUUGAAAUUCUCCUGGGCAAAUUUUUCCAGGUUCCUGUCGCAAGAGGUUGCACACGCCAUGGUUCUGCACCUGGGAGUUGAUCACCAAUAUCCGGUUGCACAUGGUCUUUGCUCGCCUCUUGGAACUUCUUCCUUUUUCACCCUUGGCUUUUCUGAUGAGUACUGGAGAACAUGCCCUUCUUUGUAACUAGCAGAUUUCUCAUCCUGCUUCCUGCCUGUAAAAUUUUGGGGGGCCCAGAGAUCUUUAUAUAUCUCAAACAGACAUAGUAUUUUUAAAUCCAAGCUGAUGGCAAUUUUUCUACUACAACUCUCUCCAAAACUUUAUGGGUUUUCUAUGUAUGAUUCCAGUCAACUCCACGUGCCAAAUGCCUCACCCACCAUUCUUUUAGAGAUAUACUUCUUUCUAGGCAUAAGCGUAGGUACUUUGCCUGUAUUAGUCAUUUAUGAGCUGCAUCCUCAGUGUCCUUAAUCUUUUUAGGGGUCUUAACAAAGAGUGUGACAAUCACUUUCUUGAUUUUGUCUUGGCUUUACGACAAUGUUCCAAUGGCUACACCUUUAGAUAGAGAGAAAUGAUUUAAUUUUUCAAACUUACAAUUCUCAGAAUUUCUAGGUUCUCUCAAUUUCCCUCAAUUCUGCUUGCAAACCAGUUUUUUUCCCCAAGCUUCUUUCUUUCUUGUAGUAACUUAUCAAAUACAGAUACAAGCAGCCAACUCAUACUAUGAACACUCUGCCUCAAAAACUUCCCAGCCCAAUGCUAUAAGUAUACUUAGUACACUUUUUGCCUUCUGGGUUAUUGCACUCAAUAGUUUUAUUGAGUGUUUUGUCACUAUGUAAUAUGAGUUAUUGUUUCAGCUUCUUAUUAUGGUUUUUUAUAGUUUUUUUCUCUAUUUACCACAUGAUCCAAACCAAAUGACACAAAUUUUGAAUUUUUUUGACAGCAGAAGCCCAAUUCUGGUAUAAUUUCUAUAUUAUUUAGCAAUUGCCACGUUAAUGAAGAGUGACAAGCCUCACAUCCAAACCCAAAUCUCAGAGGCUCAAACAAGUGUUUAUUUUCUUGUUCAUGGUCCCAUGUGUUGGCUGAAACAGCACUACUUCAGGUUGUGGGGGAACUUGGUUCUAGGCCUCUGGUCAGGUUCAGUUUUGUUCUAAGAAUCUUUAUUUUUCUUCAAAAAGUGACUACUUACAGCAUAUUUUUCUUAGAGGGAAUGGCAGGAACACCAGGAUGCAAGCAAGACACACAGCAUAUUUAAAGUCUCUGUUCUUACCUAGUCUGCCAACAUUUAAUUAACCAAUGCAAGUAACAUGGCUAAGCCUAACAUCAAUGGGGUGGGAGUUGUUUUCUACCCAUAGCUACAUGUCCUGUGGCAUGUAUAUUAUAGCUGGGAGGGAAUCAAGAACUGAGAACAGUUCAAUCUAGCACACAUGCAAACAAGAAAAUAUCAACUAGUAUAAAUGCUAUGAAGGAAAUAAAGCAGAGUAGUGUUUAGAGAAUGCCCGGAAAACUAUUAAGAAUAGUUUCUUGGAGAUAACAUUUAAACUGAGGUUGAAUGCCUUCCAGGCAGAAGGAAUAGAUGUCACAAAGACCCAGAGGCCAGGAGGGUGAUGGAGGAACUGAAAUAAGACCAUGGGGAGGAUGGUAGGAGAUGAAAUCAAUGAAGUAGGUAGAUGCCAGAUUAUUUAGACCUCUAUUAUUAUCACUGCGAUAUGCAAUACAAUAUAACUGGACAUUUCAGAGGAUUAUUUACCUAAUACUGAAAAAAAGGGAUUUCUUGUGAGUUCUACUGGUUGUCAUGAUAACCCAUGAGUAAGGUAGCUGAAUUCAACCCCUCUGGAAAGUUUUAUACCAAUUGAAUUGAAUAAUCAAUUCUAAAUAAUUUGUCUUUUCACUGGUUCUUAUUGGAGUGUUGGCCUGCUAAGUUGUUUCAAUGGAAAUGCCUGAAAAAACUAAGAAUUCUUACCUAGAGAGGUACUAGCUGAAAUACUUUAGAGGUAAAAUGGUGGCCUCUGAAACUACUUGGCUUCCUAACAAUUCCAGACUUUUCUUUCCCCUGGGCUACUUAGAGCUAAAUGGAAAUAUAAAGGCUUUGGAGCCUCCUUUCCCCCCUUAGUCUCACUCUUGGGAAAAAUCUCUUAUUCUUUUGUUCCCCAGAGGGUUGUCUAGAUCUAAAAUAGCAACAGCUCCGAUUGUUGGUGAUAUCUUUUCCUGGGAAAGUCUUUGUGCUGGUCCUGUGGACAGGGAGGCAACCUUGGGGGUAAACCCCAGAGGUACAGCUCAUGCCCUCGGGAAGCUCAUGAUUAAUUGGGGUGUAGAGUAAGUUUAAAUGGGGGACAAACAGUGCGGUCACGUGCAAAGUUGGCUAUAAGUAUCUCAAAAUUUCUCUCAAUCAGAAACACAAAGUUGCUGGAUGCUGAACUGCCCUAAAUUAUGAAGUAUUGAGCACUUUCUGGAAAUGACCAUUGAUUUUUGUCCUAUGUGAAAAAUGUUGUUAAAAAUUGGCAUUUAAUUAGCCAGAUUUUCCUUUGUCCUCAUCUUUCUGUAGACUUAAGGAAAGGACAGCGAUUCUCUUUUCAAAUGCAUGAAAAAAAGGAAAUCAAAACCAGGGAUACAGAGAAGCCGCUGCUCUCUCUGGGUUAUAGUAACACCUCUACAGGUGUGCCCUUGACUGCUAUUGAGAAUGACCAGCUAAACAGGUGAAACACACAGCUGUAAAUUUGUACUGCAGCAUCUUUUAGCAAGAAAGGGGCUGUGCCUGGAUGAAUCAGAAUAUGCUGGCUGGCGGAGCUCAGACACAAUGAUGAGGUUUUUCAGGAGAAAUAAAUGUGACAGUGUUUAUUUCACACACAUUGUUUGUCAGCGGACUUCAAAGCAGUGGGCAGGGAUCAGUUGCGCAUUACCACCUGUCCUGUAGACUGUGCCUCUUCUCUUCAGGUGGACCCUGAAGUCAUCGGCAUGGAGGCAGCUCAUCCUCUGUUCAGCUCCUGUGCCACAAGGUAGGACAGGAAUCCCACCAGGAGGAGGACUGGAGCCCUGGCUCCUCACCACCCCCAUUGGACUCCAGCUGCCAGUAAUGCCCUAAGAAGAGAGCAUGCCGCCGGGCCUGAAGCAAGCUUCCAGCCCAUGUAGUGAGUGCUGAGCACGUGGCAAGCAUUAAACACAUCUAAAUGGAGAGGCAUCUUUGUGAUAAAUAGGACCCCAGGAGCUGAUUUCCAUUGGAAGAUGAUGGGUUGGGGCCCAGAACAGAUAACACAAUAAGAGAAGAGCCCAAGAAUUUGAGAGGUUUGGAACAUGAUGCUGGAGGAAUAGCACUCCUAGAAGAAAUGAAGAUACUUGCUUAUCCUUGGUUCACCUGAGUGUGAAGCAUCCAGUGAAAGUGACAAGAGAAGAUGGUGUUUGUAAAGUCUACACAUGCAGUGGUGUCCUCACCUUUAUAAAACAGAUGCCAUUGUCAAUGAUUUUCUAGCACUCUUUUCACUAUACAUACAGCUUGAUGUACUUGAGCAGAUCUUUUACCUAAUUUUUUAACCCUCUAAGAUGCUAAGACAGAGCUGAACCUAUGGUGCAAGCAGAAUGAAUGGAAGGGAAUAAGUGCAAAGAGAAGCAUUUUAUUUAACUUGGGAAGAUAAACAGAUAGGUCUUACUUAAAUUAGUGCAGAGGUAUAGAACUAUUGGCUCGAUCAUUCUUUAUGUGAUUGUCUCUUGCAAGUUUUAGUAAAAUAUUCUGAUUUGGGGGAAAUUUGUUUCCUUGCUAAUAUAAGAUAAAAGAGGAAAAAUUUAAAAUAUUUGCAGCUCUUUCUCUAAAAUUUCAGGCUAAUUUUUCCUCUCUUGUCUUGAUAUUUCUUUCUAUGUGAAUCAUUCUUGUAUAUUUCUUCCACUGCAUUUUUCAUGAAGAAAACAAGGAUUAUCAAAGUUAAGCAGACAAGUUCAAGGCAGAGCUUCAAGCUUCUCCAAGAAAUGGUUCCAGACUUGUUUACAUGUAAUGCUCUUGCAAGCAAGACACAUGUCUGUUUUAUCUUUGUUGGUAUCUGGCACAUAUUAGGGAAACAGUAAAUUCUCUGUCUCAAUUAAUGAGCAUAGAAAAAUGAAUGAAGAAGUAGAUGAUUUUGUAAGACUCUCAAAGAAAAUUUAUAGAAUAUUUUGGAAAUGGGCUCACUUUAUUUCCAAAGGAAAUUUUACUUUCAAAUUAAAAAAAAAAUUCACCCAAAUGAGAUUUUGGGGGAUUUCAUGUGAUUAACUCUUUACAUGAUCUUGUAGUAAUUAUGCAGAAAUUUCUAUUUAUGUAAACACAGUGAAUGCAUCAUAACACUAGAAUAAGUGUACAAAUACUGCAUGUCAAAUUAGGUUAUAAUCACUUUCAAGGGACGUGAUUUCCUAGUUAAACAGAUUCGUUUACAUCUUGUGAAAUAAAAAAUAAAUGAAAAUAACUAUAUAAAAUCAGGCUUACAGCUGGACAGAUCUUCUUGGCAAUGGUCCAGACACUGAGAGGGAAAGCCCCUCCAUCUGAGAACUGCUCAGGACGCCCAGGAUGACUUUGGAGAGGGGUCCUUGGUUGCUGUCCUGACUGUGUGUCCUGUUCCCGGCCACCUGUGGGGAGUUGGGCUGCCCUCACAUUUAAGACGAGACUCUUACUGUGAGGGGUUGGGGUGGGGUGGGGGGAGUGGAAUAGAAACUUGCUUAGUAAAGGAGAAAACAGAGGCAGCUCAACACUUCACCCUUAGCUAAAAAGCAUAACAGAAAAAGUCAGGGAUCCUCGAACUGAAAAGCAAAUAUUUGAAGCCAGCAUUGGAAUCAUAGAAGUUUAGAGUCAGGGUUUGACUGCCACGGAUCAUCUGGGCCAACCCUCGUAAUACUGACGAGGAAACUGGCUACAAGGCGAGAAACAGCACCAAGACUGAGACCAAUAUCUUUCCUUCCCAAAUCUGGUGCUUAUUUAUGAGAUAAUUGAAGCUGAUUCUUUCAAGUGAGAUAACUUUAAAAAAGCUGCUCAUUUUGAUGCAUAUCUUUGAGAAAUACAUUUCACAUCACGCUGACAUAGCCAACACUUUCCUCAAUGUUCCCUUAUUUCAACAGCAGGAGGGCACAAUUGUAAACCUAUGUUGUUACAUGGUGUCAUAAUAUGGUGGCAUUCUCUAUGGCUAAUUAUGCAGAGCAGUUUGCCUUUCACUAACCUUCUGUAAACGGGGUGCAUUUGCCUAUCUUUCCUCCGUGUCCCCGUCAAUAUUCAUCUACUACUUAUUUUUGCUAAUUAUAAGAAGUCACUAAAACAGUGAUUUCUUUUUUAACCCAUGGGUCCUGACUUGGAGGGAGUUCCACAUUUCUGCUAUUGAGUAAAAUAUCUUUUUUUUUUAGUUUAAUUAAUGCUCAUCUUUGUUUAAAAUAUAUUUGUUGAACACUUACUCUAUACUGUGUUGUGCAUACAUUAGUUUCUUACCAUGACCCAUUGCUUGAACUGUCCUGAUUCUGAGGUUGGCAAACUAUAGCCUGUGAGCCAUAAAAUAAAUAAAAUUCUAUCGGAAUCCAGUCACACUCAUUUGUUUGCAUGUUGUCUAUGGCUUUCUAUGGCUACAACAGCACAGCUAAGUACUUGUGAUAGAGACUAUAUGGCCCAUAAAGACUAAAAGAUUUGCGGUUUGGCCCUUAACAGAAAAUUUAGCCAACCCAUGGUCUUGAGUGUGAACACUUGAUUUUCUAGCUGGCUUGGUAAGAGAGCCAAAUAAAAUAAAUGACAUUAAAUUGUAGCUACCCGGAGCGCUACGCACUCUCAAGUGUUUGAAGUGUUUUUGGCCACAAGUCACAAUCAUGGCACUAAGCGAUGAGGUGAGAACUAGCAAAAUCCUAGUCUUCUGAGAGAUACAAGGCUUCUCCAGAUUUAUUUAAAUUAUUUUCAAACCUUAUUCCUAGAACCAUCCCUAAUCUGUACUAAUACUACAAACUUGUAGCUUUUGCAUUACAAAUUUAUUAUUAUUUCUUUUACCUCUUUUUUUUUUUCAGGAAAAAGGUAAUUAGGCUAUAAACAGAGGUCUGACAACUAAUUUCAGUCAACGCCACAUGAAUACAAAGCAAGCAGAAAAUUUUAGUCAUGUGAAAUUAAAAUAGAUAUAUUAUAAUGACAUUCUAAGAAAUCUAAUUUUUUGCCCUUUGUUUUUUCCUCCCUUCCCCAUUCUCAUGUAAUCCCCUAUUCUGUAUAGGUAGUGACACGUACUAAUUUAGGUGAACAAGAGCUCACUAGCUCACUGCUACAGCUGUCCUCAGGGCUCCUUCCUCUGGUCCCCCUACUGAUCUUUGGGUGGAAAGGCGCUUCUUCCCUCUCCUUCUCAGGGGUUCCUUAAUGCUGAAAAGAUAGCACCAAGCAAGGGAAAGUUCUUCAUGGCCCAUUCCUUACAUUUUCAAAUUUUAAUUGGCAUUAUUAAGAGCAAGUGUACUGAAUCUAUAUGAUCGCUUCAAGAAUUUAAAGGUUAGCAGCAUUGUGAGUAUGAGUGUGCAUGUGUAUGCAUAUUUCUGGGAGGAGAUCCCAACAUUGCUGUGUUCUGUCACUCCACAACCAUAUUAAAUAUGCAUCUCAAUGUCAGCAGCACCUUGAGAUGUUAUCUCCAAAAUUAUCACCUGCCUUCUGAAAACCAUAACCCUAAAAAUAUUGAUUUGUUAAAAGGCAGGAUCUGAAGGAAUGAGUCUGUGUCUCUGUGGAUUAUCCUAAUCAAAUAAGGGUAGUAUUAACCUAGAUACUCACUGAUCUGCCAGUAUUUGGUCUGAAAUGUAGGCAUCUCAACUGAAGUUAUGUGCUUCAUUCUUUUGAAUAUUUCUCCCAGACAUUUAAAUACAUUACCGCUAAGCCAGAACCAAGAAAAACAUAAAAAGCAUUUUAGGGAAUAAAUUCAGCAAGUUUCCAUUUGUACCAGAUAGUAAAAUUGUUGGCAUGCAUUAUGAGGCGUGUGUAUUUUUCAGCCUGUCAAGUCUCAGUCACAUGCUCAAGGUGGAAUAUUUCGGCUGCCAGGGGUUGUGUAGAAAGGUCUCAGAACAUUCAGGUAGUAGUACUUCCUAAUAAAUAGAGAGUUUUCAAGUCAUCUGCCAUAGCUAUUUAGACAAGUCAGAAGAAAAGCUUAUUUCAUUAAAUAUGCUAUAAACGUAACUUCAAUGAAGGGUAGCCAGCUAAAUACAAGAAGAAAAGACUGGUAGGGAUUCUCUCCAUUCAAGUGUUGAGCUUUACACAAUUGUAUUUAGAGGCACUUCUGUUACUAAGGAGGCUAUGAGUUGAUCGACUGUGUCUUAGAAUUAACUACAGUGGUGGAAACACAAAUUGCAAACCAGCAUGAAGUCACAAAGGGAAAGGAGCAAAGAGAAGAAUUUGAAAGUCAGGGACUCCUAUGGACUUUUCGUUUUCCUUUAAGAAAAUAAGUGUUGGACCAGCUGCCCAGAGUCCGCCAUUAGUCGGAGCAAGCCUAAUUAUUGUUAGGCAGAGGGCCUAAUGAGAACUGCUACACACGGCCUUCCUUUCUAUUCUCAUUUGCUUCUGUUUCCAGAGGAGUCUGGGUUUUGUUGGAGGUAAAUGAUUAUGUUCCCUCUGCUCGACGUACUAGAAUGAAAUAUGGUUGGUAAGGAAAGGGAGGACCUGGACUGGAAAGGGUCUUGGCCACAAAUUGUUUGUGUGCGCAUUAAGGAAGGUUCCAGUGUAACACUGUUUGCAGCGGAAGAGGAGGUAAUGAGGGCUUGGAGCUGGCCCACCAUCUUUGAAGCCUCUUGUGGGCACUCCUCCUUCCUCCCGGGGAGUGUCAGUCACAGCAUUCUCAGUGCUGUCUUUGACCUUUUCACUGGAGAAAUCGAGCGCAAAUCAAACUUAAGCUUUAAUACUUAUAAGAAAGUGAUAAGACUUUUUCCUCUUGUCCUGAUUUCUUGACUGAUUUUUCUCAAGAUUCAAGGCUCGGGAAAAUAUUUAAGUUUCCCACAAAUGGCUGGGAUGGAAUUUCCUCUUGAAAACGAAUCACAAUCUAUCAAAGAAUAAUUCUAUGUAUUCUGUUACAUACAUCUUUGUGUUUCCUAUGGUGACAUUAUGACACAUUUGUUAACUAAACCAACAAUUGUUGGAUAAGCAAUGAAGAUAUUUAGCUAUUAUUUGCAUAUCUCUGUCAGUUUACCGAGUGAUUCUAUGACUAUUAGCUCUUUUGCUAUUAGAAGCUAAGCCCAUAGCAGAGAAAACUUUAUUAUCCUCAUUUUAGACGUGAGGAAACAGACUCCAUGGCAAAGAUUUGGCACAAAUUAGGUGGCUGAUAGUUGCCAGAUUCUUGAUUAAAACUCAUGACUAGAUUUGUAAGCAUUAUCCUAAGCUCCCCAUGAGUCUAUAAAAUCUUUGAAACCUUUAUCCAAUGUGGAAAACUUGUUUUCUAUUGGAUUUUUAACUCUAGAGUCCUCAAAUCAGAGUAAAGCCAGUUGAAAUCCCCGAAGCUUGUCUGAGUCGCUGGCAGUAGUGGUGUCCUGGGGCUGGCUCUACUCACAAAAGCCAGUUGAGCCCAUCUCUUCCCACCUCCAGCUUCAGUGAUAAUAUGUUGAUAGCUUGAGAUCAGCCAUGGCAGGAGUGUUUACAGCACAGAAAUUGCCAAACACUACAAAUCAAAGAGAGUUGGUUGUCAACUCCCAAGAAAAUGGUUGUCAACCAUCUACCAGUACACACUACUGGUUAGAAAUCUGGGCAACCAGGCAAGGAAAACUGUAGUCGGGUUUCUUGAUGCUUAGAAUAUGUUCCAAUGUUUGUAAGACACUAAGUUUCUUUGCAAAACUUGUGAGUAUAUCCUUUUGCAGUCUUUUGAAACAAUGCAUAAGAGAACAUCAAAGUAUCUUCUCCAAGAGGGAGAGCGAGGUCUGGAAAUAAAAUUAGCUACUUGUUUCAGGCUGUGAGUGUUUGCGAACGUGUAAGUGUGCUUUAAAUUACACAUAAUUUUAAACAACUGUGUAAAAAGAGUUUUAAAAGUUUAAUGGUGCUGAACCAAGAAUAGGAAUUAAAAAUUGAAAAGAAAAUACAAAACUAUACCUUGUUUUCUGCUUUAAAAAAUAAGUUUCCUUCUCAUUUGCAAUUAACAUGCUGAGAAUUUGCAUAAAAUGUGUAAAAUUAGAGAUAAUUGAACUACCGUAGCUAUAAACGUGGCUUUUCCAUUUAAAAAAAUAAAUCAGAUGUCCACUAAAAGGGUAGAAGAGCCAUUCCCCUGCUCUCCUCCGUCUCCCAUUUGGGUCUCUGGUAUUUUUCACACUUUUAUAGCUGAUUUUUAUUGCCAAACAAUCCGUGGAGUUUGUGGCAGCUCUGAGACAGCAGCCGGCCCAGGCAGGCCUGUUAACUCUGGCAUGUUAAGGACCCUUCAGAAGGUUUCAAAUCCAGCCUCAGCACCCAGGUCAGCACAUCAAAUCCAUGGAGACCUUAGGGAGGCCCAGAGGGGGUUAGAGGUGAGGGGGACAUGGAGAGAAAGGAAGACAAGAAACCCCCCAGUACAGAAAUGCCUUUAAACUAAACAUCAAUCGCUGUUUUUGUUUCCCUGGACCAAGCUUUCCCCUGGGAACCUCAAGUUUAAGAGGGUAGGGAUGCAAAAGAGUACACCAAUGCUCAAAGUGACUGUAGAUGAUGGUCCCAGACUGAUGAUUGUGUUUCCGUUGAAGGAGACUUUCUUCCCAGGGUAAGAUAGGGCCUCCAUUCUGAAGGUGAUCUCAGGACCAGCCCCGAGUAACUCCACAAAAUGUGUCUUAGACCUCUUCCUGAUCGCCCAUCACUAGGUGAGCUUUAUCUCUCCCAACUUGGGGCACAGACUUAUGAUGAUACACUGACCAACGGCAUGCUAUUUGUUUUGCUGCUCUCCUGAGAUGUUUAUAACAGUGGCUUUUGGCAGGCACUCUCUUCACUUUGUCUCAUCUGUCCUCUUCCAAGAAAGCAUAAGCACUUCAAGGGUGGAGACUAUGCUUAUAAGUGGAGCAUUGGGAGCCGGGGAGGUUUCACUCUGAUAAAAUGUGAUAUCAAAAGUAUCCGGGGAAAAACGUUGAAUUCUCAGAAAUGUGACAAAGCUCUCAAAGCUAUAUCAAUUGAAAAAUGCUAGCUCUAGUUCUUUUUCUUUUGAAACAGAGUAAAAAAAAAAUCACAGUUUUUUUAACAAAAAACUUGAUAAUAAGUAAAAACAAAGAUAAGGGGUGUCUUAAAGUAGCGAUCUCCCAUACUAAUCCAUUUUAUCUGUGACCCUUAACCAUCUGCUCAUGCCAUGCCUAUGUGUUCUGUGAUAGAUCCCAGAGCAUCUAAGAGGUAUGUAGAAAAUGUUUGUUGGUUUGAUUUGACAUCCUUUAUUCUUAGGAGCCCAGAGCCUUCACGGUCAGCUCCAUCUGGAGGGGUCUGUUCCCGCUUAGUUAUUUGCUGCUAAUGUUCCUACUCAAUCUAAGUCACAUCUCUCUAAAAUAAUAAAGUAAAAAAUCCUGCAGGUCCCUCCCCUUAGACUCCUACCCUCUGUUUGGAAGUUAUUAGCUGAUUUGAUAAUAGGGAAGAGGGUUAUUGAUUUAGUAUGUGACCCUGCCUAGUAGCUUGCUUACCUUCAAUUUGGGGCAUCCUGGAGAUGAUAUGUCAACUCAUAGUAGUGAUUUUGCUGGCAUCUGAGACACCAGAGAAGGCCAGUGAGAAAUAAUGGCAGCAGGAUGUAAGUGUUCAGAAGCACUGCAAACUACCAUGCCCAGAGAACUGUCUUCUGCAUUCUUCCAUUAGGCUGACCCGGAUGUACUCCUCAUUAGCUAUGGCUAUCUAUUUUACUUACACCAUGGCAUGUUCGUUUCCCACAGAGAAUCAACAUCAACAUAAAAUUAUUUUUACAGAUUCUAUUUUCUGUGCGAAGAAGUGUGACUGAGAAGUUAUUCAUAUUUAAUAACAUAUAUAACAUAUACAUAAUAUAUAAUGUAUAUGAUAUACAAUGGUUCUUUAUAUAGCCUAAUCCAAAGUUGUUAGCACACCAGGAUGAAAAAGAUCUGCAAGUGUUGCAUCUUGAAGAAUGAGGGAUGCAGAAGGGCAUCUCGGAUGAGAGAGGAUGGGAAUGCUGGGAAUGAUGUCUGGAACGGGAAAUUGGCACCUGUCGGGGGGAGAGCUAGGAUACAUACUACCAUUUCCCCCUUAAUGUAUGUUGAGAUUGCAUGUAACCUCAGAAUCUUUCUUAACACAGUGUUCCAACAAGCAAUUAAUUGAGGUUGACCAGAGCAACAGUGCCUCUUUGUCAUUCUUGGUAUUUACUAGAAAAGUAUGGUAAAUAAUGCUGUAAGUAGAAUGUGCAAGUUUCUAGAUUAUUUUUUGUAGUUCAUAAGUAGAAUCUUUUCCAAACCUUUGGAAAGACAUGUGCUUUAUAGAUAUUUAAUUCAGUUAUUUUCUUCCUUAUACUCUACCCACCAGCUUUUCAGCCUUAUACAUGAGUAUGUAAAAAAACAAAACUAACUUUCAUUAAAAGAUGGAAAAACCGUAGAAGAAAGGAAUAGGAGUAAAAUAUGUAGCAUGGGAUCUUCAAAGUUUCUGACAGUGGACUUCAAACUUGGAUUUCAAUUUUCCAGCUCUCUACUGUCAAAGAACGUCCUUCACAGCCCAUGCAAGGACUGUGGCAACAAGGACAGGGCUCCAAGAUGCUUGAGGGCUUUGGUGGGGGGGGGGGGGGCACCGUGGCCCAUUUUGGGAUCCCUUACCUUUACCUUUUCACUCGUACUUCCCUCAUGUGAUUACUGAAUGUCCCCUCCAGUGAGUAAUGACCCCUUAGUGUGUUCUCUCCAACUGGGAAACUUCCAUCUUAACCUACUCAAUGUAAAUUCUAUAAUUUUUCAAGAGUCUUUUGUAUAAUAUGGAAACUUCAAGCAGAGGACCCAAGGCAUUUUCUUUCAUCAACCUGAUUCUAAUUUCAUUAAAGCACUAAAAAGAAAUGCAUUUGGCUUUUUACUUGUCUGGUACUCUACUUACUCCGAAGCACAUUCAAAAGCCACCUCUCUGAUGUGAAGACGCCACUGCGGAAUUGUGUAAUUGGACCAACAGUUGCCACUUCUUCACACUCUUGCUACCCCACUUUAUUGCAGAGCAGACUACUGUUUUGCAGGCCUUCCUUAUUGCAUAAAUGGCUACAUUAUCACUGUGUACACAUUAGAACAGGCAAAUGGGCCCCUUAAGGCAAAUAAGGGUUCAAAUAACCCAGACAAGGUAGCCCAACUGAAUUGAGGAUUCACCCUUGUUACAACCUUAUUGCUUUAUGGCACAUGAGCUCGUGGAAGGGACAGACUGCUUCAAGUGUGUUUCUACUGAUCCUGCUGGCAAAUCACAGCUUUAUUACAGUAAUGAGCCUGACCAUAUUUCUGUGCUUAUGCAUAUUAGGCACCAAAUGUAUUUCUGGCCUGCCAGCCUGUGGUAGUAACUAACACAAGCAAUUUGUCCUGGCUUACAGUCUGUGUGCACGCAUUAGACAUGAGCAUGUUAGUUGCUUUGGGUUAUAAAAUACUACAUGUUUCAUCAUGCGUAUUUUUAUAUGCAAAACUUAACUGUAUGCAAAAUAGCUUGGCAAUUAACCAACACAACUUUUUAGUUUACUACAAGAUUAUUGGAUAAAUAUGUGAAUUGAGGACAGUCACAACUUCAAUUCAGCAAUAUUAAAAAUUUCACAGUAUUAUUAAAUACCUAAAGAAAAAGCUGACUUUUUUUUGAACCUGUAGUGUAAGUGUUUAGAUAUUCAAAAUAUUUUUUAAUAAAUCCUUUUUCUCCUCUCAGUGUCAAUUCCACAAAUAACCCUGAGCAACACCCUUUUCAGGAGGCUGUGGAGUUUUAGACUGCGAAUUCCCCCAUAUUCAUUGUGAGCUGACAUUUGGCUUUUGACCCUAACAGCUUGCAGGUAAAGGUGAAUGGUCAUUAUUGUAAUUUCUUCCUCAGGACCGUAUUUUAUGUACGCCAUUUAUUGGGUCCAUGAUUGUUAAAAAAUGACAUCAGCAUAAUUCAGCCCACUCAGUAAAAACAAUGUAUCUUUUUUCCUCUUCCUUUUGACCAUUGGGAUCAUAAAGCUUGGUGCUGUUUGCUUGACUUUAUGACUACAUAGAAAGCAUACCAACUUAAGGGCUUCCUCCAAAAGAGCGUGGUCGUGGGAACACGUCCCCCUGAACGCUUAAUUAAAAUUAACUCUUUCUCUCACUUCCCUGCAAAAUAAAUAAAUAAACAAAAAAAAUACAUGAAUAAAGAAUUCCAAUUUGUGGGAAACUUCUGCUGAGGAAAUUGCUACUUUUGCUACUUCCACACCCAUCGCUUAUUUGAAGUUGUUAGAGAAUCACUUUUUUCCUCCAUUCAGGUCGGAUUUAUGUAAAUGACCACACACGACAGGUGCCUUUAUAUAGUCACUGCUAAACCUGGAAUCAUGUUGUACAGGAGCUGAUAACAUGAAAUAACAUGAAAUAAGUGGGCUUAUCCCUUCUGAAGCUUGUUUUACAGUACUGGUAUUUCUCUUCAGCAAAUCCUGCUGCGUGUUUAAGUAAUACGAUAAAACAAUGUAAAUGUCUUUGUGGCUGAAACUAUUGUUUCAGAAGGAACAUGGCUGUUUUAUUCUUGUCUUUUAUCUCUUCCACAUUGAAUUUUUGAAAACAUGAACAGCUCCCUGGCCUAUGUGUCUAUAAUAAGUUAUUUGCUUAUGAACCCUCACAAUUAUUCACGCACUGAAGAAAAGAAGAAUGGGAGGAAACCCCAUGUCGAUAACAGCAACACCCCAAAUAAAUAUAAACCCAAGACCCAAAUGUGCCUUUUGCAGUCCUGUCACAGGUUAAUAUGGCUCAUGAUGGAUACUUAGUUCUUUGACAGCUUCCCCUGCACCUUCGCUGGGAAGUUGAUAGAAAUUACUCCAGCUGAAUGCUUAAAGCAGAUGUUAUCCCAUUAAUUAGCUUUGGACCCGGGUACACCCGAGACUUUCCCAUUUUCAGGCCGAAAGGAAUUGGUCCCAGUGAGCGUGCUCUAUAUCCACAUUUAGUAUCAUCUCAUAAACAGCAGUGAAAACACAGCAGGCCCUUGAUGAAGAUACAUUAGCUUAUUUCUAAUUUAAAGUUAUGUUGCUUAACCUUAAUGUAAUUGGUCACCGGUGGCCAACUGUUUGUAUAGUGUGUUGAUGACCAAAGAGAUGUAAUAAAUUAUAAAACUCUCUGCUUAAAUGGAGGGAAGGACUGUUUUGUUAAAAGCUUUGCAUGUAAUAAUGGUAAAAUAAUUACACCUCAAGCCGAAUAACUGUGAAGCUAUUAAUACUAACAACAGAGUUGUUCUCAGGAUAGAUCGGUUCAUCCCCAUUUAAAACAAGUACAUGAAUGUGGCUCUUAUAUUUAGCCAAAGAGUAACUUUGAAACGUUCAGUCUCACGCUGAUGAAAAUAAAUAGCUAAGUCAUCCUGUUAUCUCAUUUGAGGAUGAUGGUGGUGGGUAGUGAGGUGGUAGGGUAAAUUGAAAUAAUUAACCAAUCGCUGUGGUUAACUAGGAAACAAAAACCACAAACAAUUCUAUUCUGUACAUCGGUUCAUUGUCACUGGCAGACAUGUUUUUAAAGAAGGCUUGAUUAGCUGGUAAAAUAACUAGGAUAACAAUGAAAUAUGAAGAUAAUUGACACAACUUUAAUGUUUAAUAACGAAUAGCAUGCCAGGGGCGAAAUAAAGGAAAACUGUCUUCUUUUCUGAGAACAGUUUCCGAGUUAAAAUUUCUUGGGCCAAAUAUAGAGAGUGAUUACUUGAGGCUCGUGAACUACUACUCCAGGACUAUAGUUACAGUUAUUCUUGUGGUUAAAAUGAAAUCAUGUGAGUAACCAUAUCCAGUCUAUCAUGAGUAACGAUAUCCAUUCCAUAGAUUUCUAUAUGUUGCUACGGAAAACCUAUUUCCCCCCUUUCCCUUUAUAAAGGUUUGUAACUUUGGUUGAAAAUGCAAAGUGAAAUAAACAUAUU